UACGGAGGAUGCAAGCGUUAUCCGGAAUUAUUGGGCGUAAAGCGUCCGCAGGUGGUUUUACAAGUCUGCUGUCAAAGCGUGGAGCUUAACUCCAUAAAGGCAGUGGAAACUGUGAGACUAGAGUUCGGUAGGGGUUACGGGAAUUCCCAGUGUAGCGGUGAAAUGCGUAGAUAUUGGGAAGAACACCAGCGGCGAAAGCGCGUAACUGGGCCUGAACUGACACUGAGGGACGAAAGCUAGGGGAGCGAAAGGG
rnacentral:rRNA from 2 species